AAGCCCGAUGUGGGACUCGAUCCCGGGACUCCAGGAUCGGGCCCCGGGCCAAAGACGGCACCAAACCGUUGGGCCACCAGGGCUGCCCUUAAUAUAACUUUUUAAAAUAGUAAUAAUCAUUCUCUUCUGAAAUUAGCUUUCAUUCCUAUUAGUACUUUUAAAUUACCUAACCUAAGUCUGUGAUCUAUUUCUAAUUCUUUUGGUCCUCGGGAGAGAGGUGAGGUCAUUUCCUGGCAUGGGAAGGACUGUGUGAAUGGGCUGCUGGGAUCCACGCACAGGCUUUGCUGCGUCUCUGUCUCUGCCUUCACUGAGCACAGCUUGCUGCAGGCGGGACACCCUACCUCACGUGGUUCUCGGGGCUCUGGCUCUGGGCAAAGAGCUUCCAGGCGAGGAACCAGAAGGAAGAACAUUGGAUCAGGGCUGAAGACCAGGGCUCACCUUCUAUUUCCAGGACCUGGUUAGCUGUGAGACCUAAGUAUUUGAGCAUUCCCAUAGCUUUUCAUCCUUGCUCUCUCAGCGGUCAUUACUGGAUGGAACAGAGAAGAAGUGCGCGGUGACUCGCACAGAAGAGGUGCGAGUGGUUGGAUCAACUCCGCAGACUGGAAAUUGAAGCCCUUUAAGGAAAAGGACAAAUGUCUGUGGAAUAAAAUCCAA